UGAGAGACUUUUUACUUCCCGCUGCAUGAUUGUUCAUAGUCCCAGGAGGGGAGGGGCACUGAUGUGAUCUCAGGGGGUUAAAGCUGCGUUCUGCAAUGCCGACAUCCAAUCCGGACACUGGUUCUAGUCCAGGCUUCUCCACUUCCAGUCCAGCUCCCAGCUAACGCACCUGGGAAAGCAGCGGAGGGUGGCCCAGUGCUUGUGUCCCUGCCACUCACAUGGGAGACCCAGAUGAAGCUCCUGGCUCCUGGUUUUGGGGCUGGGCCAGGCUGUGUGGCCAUUUGGGGAGUGAACCAGAGGAUGGAAGAUUUCUCUCUCUCUUCCUCUCUCUCUAACUGCCUUUCAAAUAAAUCAUUUAAUUAAAAAAUUGACAGGUAGAGUUAUAGUGAGAGAGAGAGACCGAAAGGUCUUCCUUCCGUUGGUUCACUCCCCAAAUGGCUGCCAUGGCCUGCGCUGCACUGAUCCGAAGCCAGGAGCCAGGUGCCUCUCCUGGUCUCCCAUGGGGUGCAGGGCCCAAGGACCUGGGCCAUCCUCCACUGCACAGCAGAGAGCUAGACUGGAAGAGGAGCAACCAGGACAGAAUCCGGCACCCCGACCGGGACUAGAACCCGGGGUGCCAGCGCUGCAGGCAGAGGAUUAGCCUAGUGAGCCACAGCGCCGGCCCCGCUGCAGCUUUUCUAUACACAGAAAAUUUAUUAUUAAUGAUAAACCAGUAAUAAUGAUCAGCUUUUAAUUUUCCUCUCUAUGUAAUAAAAAUUCCUGGAAUAUUAAUAUCAACCUCAAAAUUCGGCAGGCUACUACUAUUUGGUGCUUUUUUGGAAAAAAAAAAAAGAUUCUACUUUAUUUAUUUGAGAGAGUCACAGAGGGAGAAACAGAGAAAAGUCUUCCAUCCUCUGGUUCAUCCCCUAAAUGGCCACAAUGGCUGGAGCUGGGCCAUCCUGAAGCCAGGAGCUUCUUCCAGGUCUCCCACGUCCACGUGGGUCCAGGGACUCACGCACUUGGGCCAUCUUCUUCUGCUUUCCCAGGCCACAGCAGAGAGCUGGAUGGGAAGAGGAGCAGCCAUUUGCGAUGCUGGUGCAGUAGGCUGAGGCCUAGCCCACUAUACCACAGCGCCGGCCCCUGUUGGGUGCUUAUUAACCCGUAACGUGUUAAUACCACCAAUGUGAUCCGGGAAUUUGAAGCAAAAUGCAUAACUUCUCAUGAUUGGUUGAAUAUUACAUUGUCAGAAAUGAUUGGCCAUGCUAAUCUAUAGAAUAUUGGUCUUUUUUAAAGGUUUAUUUAUUUGAAAAGUAGAGAAGGUGAGAGAGAGAGAGAGAGAGAGAGAGAGAGAUAUCAGUCUUCUGCUGGUUCACUUCCCAGAUACCCCAUGGCCUUGGAUGGGCCAGAUAAAAGCCAGGAGCCUGGACCAACGUCUGGGUCUCCCAGGUGGGUGGCAGGUGCUUAGGCCAUUGAGCCAUCGUCUGUUGUCUUCCCGGGCGCAUUAGCAGAGAGCUGAACAGGGAGUGGAGCAGCCAGGCCUGGAAUCAGCACUUUGAUAUGUUCGAACAGUGGUAGAGGGGGUGGCUUCCCCACUACACCACAGCAUUGGCCCCAGAAUAUUGAUUGUGAACCAUAUUUUUGUGUAUGUUUCAAAAAUUUGCCUGUAUGUACUCCAUGUUUCUGACUG
ensembl:lncRNA